rnacentral:tRNA from 1 species
UCCCUGGAGGACCAGUGGUUGGGUCACGGCACUCUCACCGCUGCGGCCCGUGUUCGAUUCCUGGCCAGGGAA